CAGGCUUAACACAUGCAAGUCGAGCCUUAGCAUGGUCUUAGCUUGCUAAGGCCGAUGGCGACCGGCGCACGGGUGAGUAACGCGUAUCCAACCUGCCUUACAUUCUUGGACAGCCUUCUGAAAGGGAGAUUAAUACAAGAUGUUAUCAUGAGUAAGCAUUUUCGCAUGAUUAAAGGUUUACCGGUGUAAGAUGGGGAUGCGUUCCAUUAGAUAGUAGGCGGGGUAACGGCCCACCUAGUCUUCGAUGGAUAGGGGUUCUGAGAGGAAGGUCCCCCACAUUGGAACUGAGACACGGUCCAAACUCCUACGGGAGGCAGCAGUGAGGAAUAUUGGUCAAUGGACGAGAGUCUGAACCAGCCAAGUAGCGUGAAGGAUGAAGGUUCUAUGGAUUGUAAACUUCUUUUAUACGGGAAUAAACGAAUCCACGUGUGGAUUUUUGCAUGUACCGUAUGAAUAAGGAUCGGCUAACUCCGUGCCAGCAGCCGCGGUAAUACGGAGGAUCCGAGCGUUAUCCGGAUUUAUUGGGUUUAAAGGGAGCGUAGAUGGGUUGUUAAGUCAGUUGUGAAAGUUUGCGGCUCAACCGUAAAAUUGCAAUUGAUACUGGCAGUCUUGAGUACAGUUGAGGUAGGCGGAAUUCGUGGUGUAGCGGUGAAAUGCUUAGAUAUCACGAAGAACUCCGAUUGGGAAGGCAGCUUACUAACCUGUAACUGACAUUGAUGCUCGAAAGUGUGGGUAUCAAACAGGAUUAGAUACCCUGGUAGUCCACACGGUAAACGAUGAAUACUCGCUGUAGGCGAUAUACAGUCUGCGGCCAAGCGAAAGCAUUAAGUAUUCCACCUGGGGAGUACGCCGGCAACGGUGAAACUCAAAGGAAUUGACGGGGGCCCGCACAAGCGGAGGAACAUGUGGUUUAAUUCGAUGAUACGCGAGGAACCUUACCCGGGCUUAAAUUGCAACCGAAUAUGGCGGAAACGCUAUAGCUAGCAAUAGCGGUUGUGAAGGUGCUGCAUGGUUGUCGUCAGCUCGUGCCGUGAGGUGUCGGCUUAAGUGCCAUAACGAGCGCAACCCUUGCCGAUAGUUACUAACAGGUUAUGCUGAGGACUCUGUCGGGACUGCCAUCGUAAGAUGUGAGGAAGGUGGGGAUGACGUCAAAUCAGCACGGCCCUUACGUCCGGGGCUACACACGUGUUACAAUGGGGGGUACAGAGGGCUGCUACCACGCAAGUGGAUGCCAAUCCCAAAAACCUCUCUCAGUUCGGAUUGAAGUCUGCAACCCGACUUCAUGAAGCUGGAUUCGCUAGUAAUCGCGCAUCAGCCACGGCGCGGUGAAUACGUUCCCGGGCCUUGUACACACAGCC
rnacentral:rRNA from 1 species